rnacentral:rRNA from 1 species
UACGAAGGGAGCUAGCGUUGUUCGGAAUUACUGGGCGUAAAGGGCGCGUAGGUGGUUUGGCAAGUUGGAUGUGAAAGCCCAGGGCUCAACCCUGGAAUUGCAUUCAAGACUGCUUUACUUGAAUUCGGUAGAGGUUGGUGGAAUUCCCAGUGUAGAGGUGAAAUUCGUAGAGAUUGGGAAGAACACCCGUGGCGAAGGCGGCCAACUGGACCGACAUUGACACUGAGGCGCGAAAGCGUGGGGAUCAAACAGG